UUUCUACUCCCUCCGAUCCAUAUUACUUGUCGCUUAAACGGAUGUAUCUAUAUUUAUUUUAGUGUUAGAUACAUCUAUUUGAGCGACAAGUAAUAUGGAUGAGAAGGAGUAUAAA
rnacentral:pre_miRNA from 1 species